AAUAAGGACUCUGAGCAAAGUAGGAUAUAUUCCUUACUUAGUUUGUCAGCCUGCAAACUAUUCCUGUACUGCAUCUAAUGACCAUUGGAGUUACUAAUUAACCUCCAUUUAUUUAAAUAUGCAUAGGGAUUUGGGAAGUGCGCAGGUACCUGCUUUUCUUUGGUUAUUCCUUCACUUGUCUGUUAAUAAGAUUUAAGGAUUGUACAGGAAGAGCACACCUUGUAGAUCAUUGCUUCUCAGGUGUUGUUGAUAAGAUGUGUGACGAUAACAAGGCCACUUCAGGUGUUAAUGUGAGUUGGUUCAGUGGGUGCAAACUAAUUGCAAAAGUUCAGUCAGCAGUCCUUUGUUGCUCUCAAACUGUACUUUGCAAUGGUUGUGAAGUAAGUUAACUUUCCGUUUGACAGUUCUGGUCCUAAUGGAUAUUACCUCUAAUAAAGGUUAGUGAAACAUAUGACCAGAUCUCAGUGUAAAAGAAGUUGUAAAUUCUGUUAAAGCACCUCUAUCACCUUCUGGG